rnacentral:rRNA from 1 species
AGCAGCCGCGGUAAUUCCAGCUCCAAUAGCGUAUAUUAAAGUUGUUGCAGUUAAAAAGCUCGUAGUUGAAUUUCGGGAUCAAUAUGUUGGUCGUGCCUUGGUACGUACUAAUUUAUUGGUUUCUUCCUUCUGACGAACCUUGAUGUCAUUAAUUUGGUGUCUUGGGGAAUCAGGACUGUUACUUUGAAAAAUUAGAGUGUUUAAAGCAAGCUUACGCUUGAAUACAUUAGCAUGGAAUAAUGAAAUAGGACGUUUGAUUCUAUUUUGUUGGUUUCUAGGAUCGACGUAAUGAUUAAUAGGGAUAGUUGGGGGCAUUAGUAUUCAAUUGUCAGAGGUGAAAUUCUUGGAUUUAUUGAAGACUAACUACUGCGAAAGCAUUUGCCAAGGAUGUUUUCAUUAAUCAAGAACGAAAGU